AAGACUAUACUUUCAGGGAUCAUUUCUAUAGUAUGUUACUAGAGAAGCUUCUCUGACUGUAGAGAGCACCAGAAACCACCACGAGGAGGAGGCGUAGUGUUCCUUCCAGAGCAUUAAGCAGGCUCUCGUCGCUGCUUGAGUGUAGCUGCCACUUACCAUUGAUGAUCGUUCUGGCUAACUCCUUGGAGAUAGCAAGAGGGGAGGGACACAGUUUGAGUGGU